ACGAACGCUGGCGGCGUGCUUAACACAUGCAAGUCGAACGGAAAGGCCCUGCUUUUGUGGGGUGCUCGAGUGGCGAACGGGUGAGUAACACGUGAGUAACCUGCCCUUGACUUUGGGAUAACUUCAGGAAACUGGGGCUAAUACCGGAUAGGAGCUCCUGCUGCAUGGUGGGGGUUGGAAAGUUUCGGCGGUUGGGGAUGGACUCGCGGCUUAUCAGCUUGUUGGUGGGGUAGUGGCUUACCAAGGCUUUGACGGGUAGCCGGCCUGAGAGGGUGACCGGCCACAUUGGGACUGAGGUACGGCCCAGACUCCUACGGGAGGCAGCAGUGGGGAAUAUUGCACAAUGGGCGGAAGCCUGAUGCAGCAACGCCGCGUGCGGGAUGACGGCCUUCGGGUUGUAAACCGCUUUCGCCUGUGACGAAGCGUGAGUGACGGUAAUGGGUAAAGAAGCACCGGCUAACUACGU
rnacentral:rRNA from 1 species